rnacentral:rRNA from 1 species
CUCUGACCUCAAAUCARGUAGGACUACCCGCUGAACUUAA